UACGAAGGGGGCUAGCGUUGUUCGGAUUUACUGGGCGUAAAGCGCACGUAGGCGGAUCGUUAAGUCAGGGGUGAAAUCCUGGAGCUCAACUCCAGAACUGCCUUUGAUACUGGCGACCUUGAGUUCGGGAGAGGUGAGUGGAACUGCGAGUGUAGAGGUGAAAUUCGUAGAUAUUGGGAAGAACACCAGUGGCGAAGGCGGCUCACUGGCCCGUAACUGACGCUGAGGUGCGAAAGCGUGGGGAGCAAACAGG
rnacentral:rRNA from 1 species